rnacentral:tRNA from 1 species
GGAGGAAGGCUAGCGGUAAUCACUAAAAGUUGAUGGAGUUUUGAGCCAUUUCCGUCGGCUCAUACCCGCUUGGUCGGUGGUUUGAAUCCACUCUCCGCCACCA